rnacentral:misc_RNA from 1 species
UCCGAGUUGACCCCGGCAGUCUUCGAUGAGUCCCCGGCAUCACCCGCUGGCAACAUCGAACAAGGGUUGCGCUCGUUGCGGGACUUAACCCAACAUCUCACGACACGAGCUGACGACAGCCAUGCACCACCUGUGCACGAGCCCCGAAGGGCUGCCGUAUUUCUACGACAUUCCCGUGCAUGUCAAGCCUAGGUAAGGUUCUUCGCGUUGCAUCGAAUUAAGCCACAUGCUCCACCGCUUGUGCGGACCCCCGCCAAUUCCUUUGAGUUUCAAUCUUGCGAUCGUACUUCCCAGGUGGGAUACUUAAUGCUUUCGCUCAGACACACACUGUGUAUCGCGUAUGUCGAGUAUCCAUAGUUUAGGGCGUGGACUAC